ACUAUCGAGAGAGAUUCACUUCGAUCAAUAUUCAUCAAACCCCAGUACUCUAGAGAAGAAAUUGAUGAAGUGCGUUCCGAGUGGACAGAAUGUAUACAAGACUAUAUUUAUGACUAGGGAGAAAUUGAUGGGUUUGCAAGCUGGGUAUGCAGAAAAAGAACCAGUACGUGAAGAUUGUUGCACAUCCGAUCCUGACUUGAUUUAUUCAGAAAAAGGACAAAUUAAUUUGCAUGGUUGUGGUCUUAUAAACUUAAUUUUGUGGUUUCAUCUUUUGUGGUUGUCAUGAUUGGAUACUACUUGUGGUCAUGUUUGGAUAGCUUGUAGUAAUUGUAUAGAAUUGUUUAUAAACUUAAGUCAAUGUACACAUGUACCGAUUUUUGGU